AUACGGAGGGUGCAAGCGUUAUUCGGAAUUACUGGGCGUAAAGGGCGCGUAGGCGGCGCAUUAAGUCAGUUGUGAAAGCCCGGGGCUCAACCCCGGAAGUGCAAUUGAAACUGGUGUGCUUGAGUAUGGUAGAGGGAAGUGGAAUUCCUGGUGUAGCGGUGAAAUGCGUAGAUAUCAGGAGGAACACCCGUGGCGAAGGCGACUUCCUGGACCAAUACUGACGCUGAGGCGCGAAGGCGUGGGGAGCAAACAGGAGUAGAAACCCUUGUAGUCC
rnacentral:rRNA from 1 species